AUGUCCAGAUCUGGUAGCGGCAGUGGCAACACCACCAUCUCCUCGUUGCAGGCCCUCCUUGCACACCUGUGGAUCGCGGUGUGCCGAGCAAGGAGGCUGGCGCCGGACCAGCGGACAGUGUACGCCCUCGUCGUCGGAUUCCGGGGCCGUGUGCAUGGCUUACCGGUGGACUACAUGGGCAAUGCUGUGGCACGCGCUGAGGCGGUGUCCACCGCCGACGAGAUCCUAAAAGGAGGCCUGGGUUGGGCUGCAUCCCUACUGAAUAGACUGGUGGUGUCGUCCGACGAGGCGACUGAGAGAGACAGGCACGCAUCUUGGAUCCAAACUCCUAGCUUCGCCGGAGUGUCGGCGCGCCCCACGGCCGCGGCACUGGUGGUGACGGGGGGUACGCGCUGGUUCGACGUGUACGGGAAUGACUUCGGAUGGGGCCGGCCGGUGGGCGUGCGGACUGGCUCAGCCAACAAGACGGAUGGGACGGCGACGGUGUACGAGGGCAGAGGUGGCGGAGGGAGCAUGGAUUUGGAGGUGUGCCUUGCCCCGGAGGUGCUCGCCAGGCUGGUCGCCGACGAGGAGUUCAUGAGCACGGUACGUAAGCUUGACCGAUCAUGUUAA
rnacentral:rRNA from 1 species